rnacentral:misc_RNA from 1 species
AACAAGGCGUACCUGCGGACCUGCGGAGGGAUCAUUACCGAGUUUACAGCUCCCAAACCCCUGUGAACAUACCACUUGUUGCCUCGGCGGAUCAGCCCGCUCCCGGUAAAACGGGACGGCCCGCCAGAGGACCCCUAAACUCUGUUUCUAUAUGUAACUUCUGAGUAAAACCAUAAAUAAAUCAAAACUUUUAACAACGGAUCU